rnacentral:lncRNA from 1 species
GAACUUGUCUGUCUCCUCUUAUUUAACCAAAUUUUUUUAAAUUAAUAGAGCAGGACAAUCACAACAUCUACAGCUUUAUAGAAAAAUAGCAACUCUUUCCCAACGGAAAAGGAGAUAGAGACAAAUUCUGACUCCUAAUGGUCCAACCACACUCUUAAGCAGCUCAAUUACAAAAUUUAAUACAAUUAUCUUUCAACUAGCUAAUAAGCUGCAAUCAAAAGAUAAAUUAAAAACAGGCAGAAAAUUGAGUAUUAGAAAUAUGUUCUCAAAUUUUGUAGAUCAACUUAUUGGUGUAAUAACAGCUUAUUCAACACUAGUUUACAAGCACGAGCAAAUAUUCUACCAGAUUGACCAUUUUUUUCUGAGAAUUAGAAAAAAAAUUUUAAUAGGGAGGAAAAACAAAAAGAUCUCUAUAAAGGGACAUGACAGAGAUCCAACAAGGAGUGAAACAAAACAUGACAGAAAAUAGAGGAGUCUGCUCUCGCUUCUAGUUAAUUACAGCACCCAGAGCAGAGUAGAGCAGAGCAAUCACAAUCACAAUCACAAUCACAAUCCACAAUCACACACAAACACAACCACACCUACUUUAGUAACCAUCAAUCAAAUGAAAAACAACAAAAGGAACAGAAUCAGCAAGCAAUUACACAAGGUGCAAGCCAAAAUGAACUGCAAAAAGAAAAAGCAGAACAGAACAGUAACUCUCAAGCAUCAGGGAUUAAUAAUAAAAACUCACAAUCUCUAUUAACUCCAUAAAAUGGUGCAAAAUAUUAAAACUAAAUCAGGAAAGGGGGAAAUUAAUUCAAAACCUUAAAACCUCCAAAAUGGAGAACCCCAAUUAUGGAAUCGACCAAAAAACUUUCGAUUUUUUGAACAAGAUGAGAUUCAUUUGUCUAGAAACAUAAGAACCACGAAAAGAAUAGAAGAAGCUAGAAGAAGACGGUAAACAAAGAGAAAGGUGUGUCACUUGGUUCUUUUCUUUAAUGAAUCGAUCGAGUUUUGGAAAAAGAAAAAAACCCUAAAAAAAUAGGCAAAAAUAGAUGAAGUGAGAUCAGUGGGAGGAGAGAAAAGGGAAGAGAAAAGAUAUGUUGUAGUCACUAAUUAAAAAAAACCCUAUUCUGUUUUUUUCAAUGCAUUUUUU